CCCCCGCCCAUGCGGGUGCCUGUUCGCCGAGCCCGAGGGGCACGAAGGGGGCGGAACUUCAGAAGCGAGCAGAGCACGGAUUGGGUACAGAAGAAAACGUACGGGGUCUCUAGGGCUGUUUGGUGGGAACCAAUCACGAGUCAAGAGGCAGUCCCAGGGCUGUGUUUGCGCAGGCGUUCUGGGGUAUUCCCAGUUGCAAUGCGCGCGAAGGGGUGAAGCGUUGUAAGGAAGCGCUUUGUCCUUCUGUGCCUCGUGAGGAGGGUGGGAGGAUCCAAGACGGGGUCUGGGGCGGGUGGUGGGCGAGCCGUGAGGGCGGUACACGAAGGCACAGGUGCUGUGGGCGUUGUGGUGGGGGCGCCGGGUGGUCCUGGUGAACCCCGUGACCCUGGUGACCCCAGCGACCCCGAAGGCCUGGGCAAUCCCGGAAGUCCCGGCCCUGAGGGAGAGGCGGGCGCCGCUUCUGCCGGCGUGCCCCCGAUGGAGCAGGCCCCCCGCGCGCCAGGGCCUGAUGGAGCUGCGGCACCGGCGGCUGGAGGUCCUGGGGGCCAACCGCUCCAGAUCGCCCUCACCGUACCUUUCCCGUCGCCCGUGGAGGCGGAGAUUGCCCACUGGUUCCUGACUUCACAUGCUGAACUCCGAGGGCCAGUUCGGCAGGAGCUCGAUGUGAACGUCACCGUCCUGACUGUGUUAGUUCUAGAAUAUGGUCAGGGGAGAGGGUGGUGGCCAGUGGCCAGGGACGAUGUGAGUUCAGGAGGAGCUGUAAUGGAAACCGGGAAGGAUUAAGCGUAAGGGAGGAGUGUGAUGCUCUAGGACUGUUGGCUGUGUGAAGGGGCAGAUGGGGGAACGCACCCCUCCGCCCCUCUGACUUGAAUUUUACUUUUUCUUCCCCGUUAGCCGAUUGACUGCUGAGGACCCUGGCCAACUCCAAAUGUCCAUCACCUCCUGUCUUGACCAGGUUUCCCGGGUGAUUCGGACCAUGCAGCGCGUUGUGCCUCCCUUUUUUUGCUAAGCCGCAGCAGGAUAAAGGGGGCUAAACCCAACUGCCUGUCCCGUUCUAGGCACCUCGCUAGGGCACUGAUGCCUGCAGUGGUUGCCACUUCAUGACUAGGGCCUAAUCUCUUGCCUGUACUGGCCCGUGGGUGCUUGGGAUUCAUGUGUUUUGUUUGGUA
rnacentral:lncRNA from 1 species